AUCUCUUGUGUCUAAGGUACAGACUGUACCAAAGGAUCCACCAUUCAACAGAACUACUUGUGUGUGACCUGGAACUCUGGGAUAAGUACUCAUGGUUCUGGCCUUGUGCUCUGGUCAACAGCAUGAAGGGAAAGGGUCCACAAAAGCUUUUUAAAGUUAUGGAAGGUCUGUGCUGAGCAGGAUGAGAGCUCAUCCUGGGAGACUGAGGAAGAACGGAGUCUCCCAAGCCACAGAAGGACUUCAAGACAUGGCUUCCUCCUGAGUUGCAUCAACUAUCAUAUGGCAUUACUUGAGAAUUCAGUUUCAUGUCUCGUCGUCCUGUGGAUGUUUCCCUUGAUCCUGGCUUCAGAAGAA